rnacentral:tRNA from 1 species
GUGUCUGUAGUCUAGUUGGUUAAUUCAGCACCCUAGAUGCUGAGGUUGUGGGUUCAAAUCCCAUUGGACACA